rnacentral:rRNA from 1 species
GACGAACGCUGGCGGCGUGCUUAACACAUGCAAGUCGAACGGUGAAGCAGAGCUUGCUCUGUGGAUCAGUGGCGAACGGGUGAGUAACACGUGAGUAACCUGCCCUUGACUCUGGGAUAAGCGUUGGAAACGACGUCUAAUACCGGAUACGAGCUGAGACCGCAUGGUCAUCAGUUGGAAAGAUUUUUUGGUCAAGGAUGGACUCGCGGCCUAUCAGCUUGUUGGUGAGGUAAUGGCUCACCAAGGCGACGACGGGUAGCCGGCCUGAGAGGGUGACCGGCCACGCUGGGACUGAGACACGGCCCAGACUCCUACGGGAGGCAGCAGUGGGGAAUAUUGCACAAUGGGCGCAAGCCUGAUGCAGCAACGCCGCGUGAGGGAUGACGGCCUUCGGGUUGUAAACCUCUUUUAGUAGGGAAGAAGCGAAAGUGACGGUACCUGCAGAAAAAGCACCGGCUAACUACGUG